AGCGAACGCUGGCGGCAGGCCUAACACAUGCAAGUCGAACGGACCUUUCGGGGUUAGUGGCGGACGGGUGAGUAACACAUGGGAACGUGCCCUUCAGUUCGGGAUAACCCAGGGAAACUUGGGCUAAUACCGGAUACGUGCGAGAGCAGAAAGAUUCAUCGCUGAAGGAUCGGCCCGCGUCUGAUUAGCUAGUUGGUGGGGUAAUGGCCCACCAAGGCGACGAUCAGUAGCUGGUCUGAGAGGAUGAUCAGCCACAUUGGGACUGAGACACGGCCCGAACUCCUACGGGAGGCAGCAGUGGGGAAUAUUGGACAAUGGGCGCAAGCCUGAUCCAGCCAUGCCGCGUGAGUGAUGAAGGCCUUAGGGUUGUAAAGCUCUUUCGUCCGGGACGAUAAUGACGGUACCGGAAGAAGAAGCCCCGGCUAACUUCGUGCCAGCCGCCGCUGUAA
rnacentral:rRNA from 1 species